AAUAGUGCAUAUGAAGUAUCUAUAUUAUCAGAUUAGAGUAGUGGGAUCCAGGAUCCUGGUGAAGGGAAGAAUGGGAAGGUUUUAUUCAAUGGGUAUGAAGUUUUAGCCAUGCAAAAUGAAUGAUGUCUAGAGAUCUGCUUUACAAUGCUGUGUCUAUAGUUACUGAUGCUCUAUUAUACACUUAAAAAUUUGUUGAAAGGGGGAGUUCCCAUUGUGGCUCAGCAGAAAUGAACCUGACUAGCAUCCAUGAGGACGCAGGUUCGAUCCCUGCCCUCGCUCAAUGGGUUAAGGAUCCGGCCUGGCAGUGAGCUGUGGCAUAGGUCACAGAUGUGGCUCGGAUCCUGUGUUGCUGUGGGCUGUGGUAUAGCCAGUGGCUACAGCUCCAAUUUGACCCUUUGCCUAAGAACCUCUGUAUGCUUUGGGUGUGGCCCUAAAAAAGACAAAAAAAAAAAAUCUGUUGAAAUGGUAGAAAUCAUGUUAAGUGUUCUUACAACAACAACAAAAGUGAGUAACUGCCUUCAUUCCCAAAGAAAGCUAAAGCCUAGAAUGGAAGUUCUGGGGGCCUGCAUAUAGGCUGAUAAUCAACCAAAAACAUGGAUUGUCUGUAAGAAGCAGAGAGAAAUGCCUCUCAGCCAAGUUAGGGGGCUGUCCUGGCCUGGAUAGGAAGGGUCAAAACCAGCAAACAAAGAUUUACCAAAUCAGAAUACAAUGCCAUGGUAAAAAUCAAGAAUAGCCUUUGUAUAUGGAAUAGAUGUUCAACAGGCACCUGCUGUGUAGCAUAAGGAAGAACUCUACCCAGUAUUCUGUGAUAACCUAUAUGGACAAAGAAUCCAAAAAAGAAUGAAUAUGCGUAUGUAUAUAACUGAGUCACUUUGUUGCCACAGCAGAAAUUAUCACAACAUUGUAAAUCAACUAUACUUUGAUAAAACUUUAAAAAAAUGAAAAAAGAGAAUAUCCUACAAAUUAUUUCAGGUUAGUUACAGGAAAAACUCUGCUGAAUUCCGUGAUUCUAGGACUUCCAAUAUCAUGUCUAUAGAACACAGGGAUUAAGAGUCUGUACUUUGUGGAUGUGUGUACAUGUAUCAGUUAAAAAGUUAUUUUGAAACCAUAUCUAAAACUUUUAAGACCAAGUCUGGACAAUAGCAGGUGAUUAGUAAAUGACAGCAUUUUUACAGUUAUCAUCAUCAUUAUUUACUUAACAGGUUUGACACUUGCUGAUGCUUUAAUUAUAUACAAAGUUUAGGCAUCAGUUUUUUUAUCUGUGAAUAAGAACCAUAUGCGUAUUUUGUGAAGUCAUGAGCAUUAAAUGGGCAAGCAUAAGUAGUAUUCAUACCACUUUGUAAAUGCUAAACUGAUAAUGUCUAUUGUUGCAAUAUUACUAUUACUUAAGUGAUUAAGAACCAUGUUUUAGGGUUUUUUGCUUUGCUUUGUUUUGUUUUUGUCCAGCCUUUCAUUAACAGGUGGAAUUAAACAUUUUGGCCACUAGUUGGUGGUCUCUUUUUCACUGAGCAGUCUGGUGUUUGUAGUCUUUCCGGUAGCCAAGCAGUCUAAGUUCUGUUUAGAAAACCAAAUAUGAUGAAAAAAUUUCUUUUACAAUCAUACAUGUUUUUACUAUAGGAAGAGUAUUAUUAAAACUUGUGACAACCAUUCAUUAAAUCUGGAAUAUAAAAACAGAAAAAAAACACAUUAAAAAAAUAAUCUCACCCCCUCUGUACCGGCACCAUUAUUGGUAUAAUGUUUCUGGGAAUUUGUUCCGUGUAUUAGUUUAUGUGGAUAUGAAGAGAUACGUGUCUGAACCUUUUCCCUAAGGCAAUGGCCGUAUCAUGAAAACAUUUAUAUAUUCUGAAUAUACUUUCUUUCUUUCUUUUUCUUUUUUUGCUUUUUAGGGCCUCACCUGUAGCAUAUGGAGGGUCCCAGCUAAGGGUCAAAUUGGGCCUACACUACAGCUGUGGUAACAUCAGAUCAAGCGACAUCUGCGACCUACACCACAGCUCACCGCAAUGCUGGAUCUUUAACCCACUGAGCAAGGCCAGGGAUCAAACCUGCAUCCUCAUGGAUGCUAGUAAGAUUUGUUUCUGCUGAGUCAUGACAGGAAGUCCCUAAAUAUUAUUUCUAAUGCCUGCAUAAUAGGGACAUAAUUUACUGAUUUUACUGUUGGCAGUGGUUUAAUGCUUUUUUGUUUGUUUGUUUUCUUUUUUAUAUGUCUUGUAAUUUUUGAUUGAAAGCUAGACAAUUUGAAUGAAAUGGCCAUGAAAAUGGGCACAUUUUCCCACCAGGCUCUCAGUAUAAGAGGUUGAAUCCAUCAGGUGAGCUGGGUUUGGGUUUUUCUGUUGCUAUAGUUACUUUCAGUGCACCCCAGAUUUCAAAUUCCUCCACCUGGAGAGCAGGAAGGUUUUUUUUUAAGUUAUUGCUUUACCCUCAACUGUCAGAGGUUCCUGCACGUCUGUACAUCCAGGAACAUCUCUCUCCAUGCUCUUGCUCUUCUCCCAGCAGUGGCUUGUUACUCAGUUCUCAGCUCAAGGUGGGGAAGGGAAGUCCUUGGUUUUCUUGGUCCAGCUCUGGUAUCGGUCAGGCCCUGUGAGACCAAGUGUUGAAGGUGGGGCUUUCUCAGCAUCUUAUCCUUGUCUUGCCCCUUGAUGGCAAACAAAGUGCUUUGUACUUGUGGGGUCUUGAGUAGGACAGAGUUCACUCUGCUUCAUCCAACAACAGCUUUGCAGAGGUCCCAGAUUCUGAAGCCUUGCUCUCUUUUUCCGGAGACAUGAGUUUGUUUUUUCCCAUUUCUCCCUCAGAAGUAGUGGACCUUGGCCUGGCACCUGGGAAUAAGAAUAUUUCUUACUUCUUCUCCAGGGGCUUCAGGCUUUCGCUUCCUGUGAGUGAGAAGUCUGGGAAGUGGGCAAGAUUUCCUGUGCCCCACUGAGGAAAGCUCUCUUCCUCCUGCUCUAUUCCAUGUGUGUGUGUGUGUGUGUUGUGUUGAAUGGUCAUGUGAGUCUGCACUGCUAUAAGCAACAUCUAUACAGUAUAAAAUGUUCAUUAUGGUAAUAUUCAGAAUAGAUUUUUAUUUUUUCCAUAGAAAAAAGGUUUACAGUGUUCUGUCAAUUUUCUACUAUAUAGCAAGGACCCAGUCACACAUACAUGUAUGCAUUCUUUUUUCUCACAUUAUCAUGCUCCAUCACAAGUGACUAGAUAUAGUUCCCAGUGCUAUACAGCAGGAUCUCAUUGCUUAUCCAUUGCAAAGGCAAUAGUUUGCAUCUAUUAACCCCAAAUUCCCAAUCCAUCCCACUUCCUCCACCUCCCCCUUGGCAACCACAAGUCUGUUCUCCAUGUCCAUGAUUUUCUUUUCUGUGGAAAGAUUCAUUUGUGCCAUAUAUUAGAUUCCACUUAUAAGUGAUAUCAUAUGGUAUUUGUAAACCAGCUAUAAUGGGACAAAUAAAAAUCAUUAUAAAAUAGUUGUACAAUGAUAAUGUCACAACUAUAAAUGUAAUAAAUUCAUUGAGUAAUUAAAAAAAAAGACCAUAUGGAGAAAAAAUUAUAAAAUAGAGUAAUAAAAUAAAAUCCACCUUUAAUAAAAGAAAAAAAGAAAAUCAGUUUGUGACUUAAAAAAAAAAUGAACCUAGGAAAGGUUAAGAAAUCUGAGGUAAAACAUUUAAAAGAGAGCAGCUUCAUGUAAAAGAUUACGAUCUUAUUUACUUCCUGUCUUCUUUUGAGAAAAUUGCCCUGAAAAUUCUUCACUUUUAAUAUUUGUAUUCUUAUUCCAUUUACUUUUUAUAUGAUAUAUGUCAAAUUAAAAUGUCAUUUAUAAAAUAUUAUAAUGUUCUAUUAUAAAAAUUUUUAAGUGAUAACAAAAAGUUAAAAAGGACAAUAGUUUCAUUGUAGCAUUAGUUGCAAAAUUGCAACAUAUGUAUUUAAAUCAUAUCAAGCAUAGGAAUUCAAAUUGGCAGGAAAUCUGUUCUAGUCUUAUUGUCUUUAAAAAUAAGUACAUUAAGGAGACGGGAUUAAGAUGGCAGAAUAGAAAGACUGGAGCUCAACUUCUCUCCUAAAAACAACAAAAUUCACAGGUAAAGACUGAGCACUCUUCACCCAAAUGGACCAGAAACCCAUACCCUACUCCAGAAGAAAAAGAGGAGGCCACAUCCACAGUUAGGAGGGGUGAUUUCGUGAUAUAAACAACCCCAUACCUCCCAGGUGGGAAGCUCCACAGACUGAAAACUAACUGGUUCACAGAGACUCACCUACAGGAGUGAGAGUUCUGAGCCACACAUCAAACCCUCACAUGCUGGGAUCUGUCACUGGGAGAAAGAGCCCCUGGAUCAUCUGGCAUUGAAGGCCAGCAGGGCUUGUGCACAGGAGCUCCACAGGACUGGGGGAAACAGAGACCCCAUUCUUAAAAGGUGCACACAGACUUUCACGUGCACUAGGUCCCAGGGCAGAGUGAGGUCUCCACAGGAACCUAGGUCAAACCUGACUGCAGUUCUUGGAGGACAUCCUGGGAAAACAGGGGUGAAUGUGGCUUGUUGUGAGGGAAGGACGUUGAAGGCAAAGCUCUUGGGAAUAUUCAGCAGUUGCCUUUCUCUGGAGGUGGCCAUUUUGGGAAAAUCUGGCCCCACCCAUCAGCCAGCCCUGAGAAGCCCCAGGGCAAACAACAACCCAGGUGGGAUCACAGCCCCACCCCUCAGUAAACAGGCUACCUAAAGAGCCUCAGGCACACAGCAGCCCCUAAUCCCAUCCAGAGUCUAAGACCCACACACCAGAGGGAUUAGAAUUGACUCCACCUACCAGGGGGCAGGCAUCAGCCCCUCCCAUCAGGAAGCCUACAGCAAGCCCCCCAUACCGACUUCAGCCACAGGGGGGCAGACACCAGAAGUAAGAGAGGCUACAGCUCUCUUAUCUAUAAAAAGGUCACCACACCAAAAACCUAUAAAAAUGAAAAGACAGAGGACAAUAACUCAGAUGAGGGAGAAAGGAAAAACCUCAGAAAAUCAGCUAAGCAAUGAGAUUCUCAGCCUCCAGGAAAAAGACUUUAGACUGUCGAUGCUGAAGAUGAUGCAAGACAUUGGAAAUAAAUUGGAGGCAAAGAUGGAUAACUUAACAGGAAACACUGACCAAAGAGAUACAAGAUCUAAAACUUAAACAAGAAGAGAUGCAAAAUACAAUAACUGAAAUAAAAAAUUCAUUAGAAGCAGCCAACAGCAGAAUACAGGAGGCAGAAGAACGAAUAAGCGAGGUGGAGGACAGAUUAG
rnacentral:lncRNA from 1 species